GGUGGUUUGUUAGAAAGGUGGAAAGAGACUGGCAAUACAAUUUCACAAGGUGGGUACAAAGAAACAAAGCAAGAAGAAACUAGCUCUGCAUCCAACAUCUUGAUUAGUGGCAUUGGAACUUGGGAUUGAAUUGGAUGGGAAGAUUCAGUAUAUUUAGUUCCUCGAGAGCGAUUAGAAUCAAAAAGUUGGAGGUGUUAUUAAUUUAGCAGAUGAUAUGAGUGUCUUUGUGUUCAUCAUAAUUUUUUAAUUUGUAUUAUGGGUGUUGUGUAGUUAUGUUUAAAUACUGCAUAAACUUAAACUAUUGAGCAAAACAUUAUUGUAACAAUAAAAGUUUUGUUGUAUGAAUUCCAAUGUCAAA